CUCUCCGUCUGGAAGACGGGACGCGGAAAAUUUUUACCAAAAGAAAAAUUAGCCGCUUCCUUCACAGAUGGAUGAACAAAAUAUCGGAUAAUUACAAAACUUUGCGGAGUAAAGUGAUUGUCGAUAUGAGGAGAGUACUGUGAAGGGAGCGGCGGACGGCUGAGUAACGCGUGGGAACGUGCCCCAAAGUGAGGGAUAAGCACCGGAAACGGUGUCUAAUACCGCAUAUGAUCUUCGGAUUAAAGAAUUUAUUCGCUUUGGGAGCGGCCUGCGUACGAUUAGAUAGUUGGUGAGGUAAAGGCUCACCAAGUCGACGAUCGUUAACUGGUCUGAGAGGAUGAUCAGUCAGACUGGAACUGAGACACGGUCCAGACUCCUACGGGAGGCAGCAGUAAGGAAUCUUCCACAAUGGGGGCAACCCUGAUGGAGCAACACCGCGUGAAGGAUGAAGGCCCUCGGGUCGUAAACUUCUUUUAUAAGUGAGGAAUAUGACGGUAACUUAUGAAUAAGGGUCGGCUAACUACGUG
rnacentral:rRNA from 1 species